rnacentral:rRNA from 1 species
UGGGGGAUAUUGCACAAUGGGCGAAAGCCUGAUGCAGCGACGCCGCGUGGGGGAUGAAGGCCUUCGGGUUGUAAACUUCUUUUGCUCUGAACAAGGCAUGCUAAUGGGUGUGUUGAGUGUAGGGGUUGAUUAGCGCCGGCUAACUACGUGCCAGCAGCCGCGGUAAUACGUAGGGCGCGAGCGUUGUCCGGAAUUAUUGGGCGUAAAGGGCUUGUAGGUGGCUGGUUGCGUCUGUCGUGAAAGCUCAUGGCUUAACUGUGGGUUUGCGGUGAGUACGGACUGGCUGGAGUGCAGUAGGGGAGGCUGGAAUUACUGGUGUAGCUGGGGAAUGCGCAGAUAUCAGGAGGAAUACCGGUGGCGAAGGCGGGUCUCUGGGCUGUUACUGACACUGAGGAGCGAAAGCAUGGGGAGCGAACAGG